ensembl:lncRNA
CUUUUAUGCUGGAGUCUGGGUCAGUUUGCCUGUCCUCCUGUUUUUGUGGAGCAAAUGGUCCCAGAACACUGUGUGGAAAGCUGCAAUGGCUUCUGGGGUUUCCCAUGGUGCUGUAUGCGUACUUGUGCUGUGGUCUUUUGGAGUAUGGAAGAGAGGAUGGAUCUUGCUGCUCAUGCCCCAGACCAGCCUCCUCCUUGUUGCAGACUGUAAUAAGCCAUCGCUGGAGGAUGGUAGAGAGGUUCUUUGAAAAUCUCUCCAAGAUGCACUGCAAUAUUUGCCCAUCUGAGGACAGGAAAACCUAGUGCAAAUCCUAGAAAGUGGAAAUUGCCCUACGCAUGGCAGAGUGGAGCAAGCAGUGAAUCUAUUUUCCUUAUUAAACCCUUAUGCUUCCAAUAAAAGAAUUGUGAAACUAUUCCCAUCGGUGGCCUGUCCUCUACCCACAACAGUGACAGAGAAGACUGUUUGAUUUCCAUCAGCAGAAUAAUAUGAGUGUGGACGCCACUGCCACAAAUUUAAGAAGGAUCUCCAGUUGCUGCUUGCCAAAGAAACAGUGCAUGGUCUGGGGGUUUUCAGCCCUCAAGUGGAGAUGCCGCUGGUGUGAUGACAGCUUGAGCAGCAUGAAGCUCCAGAAGAGCUUGAACAGAAAGGGCUGUGUUUGCAAAGAGGUGGGUCAGCUGUGUCUCUGGAGAGCUGCAUGCAGAGCCAGACCCGACCUCUUCUCAGUGAGGUGGAAGCAAAUGUUGGUGCUUUGGGUCUGUCCACAUCUACAAGCAUGCGUGAGGUCCCUUGCCGUGGUUCAGCUGAUGUGGGGCAUCUUGCUCAACAGUUUGAGAGUCUCAGCUUGCAAAUAUUGAAGGAGAUAAAUGGUUAAAAGAAAACCAAAACAACCAUACCCAAAAUAAACAAACCAACCCCAAACAAACAAAUGAAACCUCAAAACAAACAAAGAACUCAAAACAAACAGCCAAAACCUUCCCUACCCCCUCUCCCCCCCAAAAAAAUGAAGGAAGGAACAAGGAACCCUGGUGAUCACAGCAGGAUCUGCAAGGCUCACACUGGAGAGGACAGGUAUGACAGGGGCACGUUUAGCACCUGGCUGCUCUUUACAUCACAGGGCAGAAAUAUGAAAAAUAUGAAAUAUGCAGCAGGGUUGGAUGAAAAGGAAAAUGUAAUGAGAGUAGGAGAAAGAAUGCCACAUGCUCCAACCGCAUCUGAACUUGGCAGCAGCAGCCCAGGGAAGCCCAUGUAAAUCCUAGAAGCAUGUUAAAGGCAUUUUCACCCCACAAAGACUGACAUGCAUGAAAAGUAUUGUUUCAACAAUGUCAGUCAAGAGCCUGGAGAAAUAAUUUGCUAAUAUACUGCCUAGAAGCCCAACAUGGCUAAUUGGAGGGAUGUUCACAUCUUGGAAUGGAGACUACUUGGGAACAGUCUUCCAAUGGGGUAACGAAGUGCAAAGAAGUAAAGGCUGUGUGAACAAGAUGGUGUGUCGAUGCUGCAUUUACACAGCAAAGUGAGAGAUUUCCUCAAGGAGCACAAAGAAAACAUGACAGCAGAGAGAAAACACAUGUACAUGAAGCAUAGGCAAUACAACGUAAGGACAGACUGAGGGAUGUUGUAGAGAAAGACAUAACUGAAAACGCUCGGAAUAUUGCCUAUGUCAUGUGCAAAGGAAGUUAUUAUCCAGCAGCACUGUGCCCAGGCAGAGCAAGCAUUCCUUCCAGUAAGGUUUAGGAGAUGAAUCCUCACUUCUGGGGGCAGCGUGGUCAUCCUUUGGGUUUCUUCUUGGCCUGUCCUUUGUGUACUGUAGACACAUCAAGAUCUGCAAAGGCUUAGCUACGCUGCUAUUUUUCCCUUAAAAAAUAUACUCUCUAAUUUAUUGAAUUACAGGAUACAUAUCAUUUUGCAUUAAAGGGGAUAUAGUGGAAUGCAUUCAUAUUCAAUUUGGCCGUUGCAGCAGAAUCACGGAAUCACAGAAUGGCCCGGGUUGGAAGGGACCUCCAGGAUCAUGAAGCUCCAAACCCAGCAGGAAAUACAACAAUAUCUUCCUAAAAUAAGGCAUUAUAAGUCUCUGUCAGCUCCCUCAAGUUGGCUUAGAAAUAGCUUAUGGACCCAUUUCCCCCAAAGAUCUGUGGAGGAUGGAUGAAUGGGAAGCAUCUGUAGGUGAGGAACUGUGUUACACAGGAAACAUUGCUCUGUCUUUAUGCUCAGCCUUUUUUUUUUCUUACAUUGCAGAUCUGAAAAGCCAUAAAGAAAAGUAUAAUUUGCCUGAUUCUUCUGGCUAGCUGGGAGAAUGAAUGAGCCCCACUGGUUCCUGAGGUGCAUUGGCCAUGCUGAUGGCAGGUUUGCUAAAUCUCAGGGGAGGGAUGCAGCUGUGACAGCGGGCAUCCAGGGUCAGGGGGGACACAUUUUGUCUUGGUGGAGCUUCAGCAGGUGGUGGAUUGAACCCAAGCAGGAUACGGAGGUCACAAGUCCAGGAUAACUUGCAAGUCCAACCCAAUCCAUGGGCAGUUCACCAGAGAACCAUGGAAUCCAGCCAUAAAGGCUGGAAAAGGCCUCUAAGAUCCCAAGUCCAACCCCAGCCCACCCCAUCAUGCCCACUAGUCAUGUCCCCCCAGUGCCACAUCUCUUGAUGAGAUCUUCCUGAACACCUCCAGGGAUGGGGACUCCACCACCAUCCUGGGCAGCUUCUUCUAAUAACUCACCACCCUUUGCACUACUUUCCAUUCUGCUUCCAGUAAGACAGAGACAGAAAGUGGAGCUGAGCCUACUGAAGAACGAAGGACAGCCAACAUGUACUAGGUGCUCAUGCUUGAUGCCUGCAGGCCAGGUAAAUCCAGGGAGCAGUUGUAAAAGGAAGGGAAGUGCAGGGACAGUCGCAGCUGAUUCUCCCACUGGCUGUGGGGAAGGUACUGCACCUCCCUGCAGCUUUUAUUUAUCUCCUAGACUUUCUCUUGCAUGUUUAAAUUGCCGUGGCUUUGAAGGAGGAGCUGUGCUGUGCACUGUCCCAGCACCCACCAGGACGUCUAUUGGGACAGCUGCUCUCCUAUCCGCCCACCAAAUGGCUGAAUUCUCCAGCAAGGACAAAGACCUUAUUUAUGCUCAUGCCUCUCAAAGUACAUAUAUUUUAGUCCUGGAGGAUUUACUGGCAAUAAAGUUUUCUUCUGAGAUUCCUAAAUCACGAGGUACUUAGGCUCUGCAGACCAUGAUGCCCAUGGACAAUAUUUGCUCUGUAGCUUGACACAUCUUUCUGCCUUAGAAUAACAGAAAAACAUGCAGCCAGGACCUGCCCAGCUGCGAGGACUCUAAAUCACCUGCUUUUUCUUUGUUUCCAGAGGGGCAGGUGCAGCUCAGAUUAUCUGCAAGCUAUUUUAUGACUUAACAACACGGGCUUUAAUGCAGUUAGAGAUGCCUUUAUUCAUUCUUACACUCCUGAGUAUUUUUGUGUAAACAUUUUUCAUCUGUGGCAAGCCAGUUUGUUUGUUGUGUUUUGUCAUGUCAGAGCAGACUGUGAUUAGACACUGAGAUGAGACUACUAAAUAUUCUCAGAUGUUUUCUAUUUCCUCAGAGAAGAGCUGGAUUUGAACCAAAGCUCCGAGGUGAAAGGGUGAUGUGUAAUAUAUUGAGACAUCUGAAAUAAAAUAAUGUAAUGUUUUUAAUAUUUAAGAAGAAAAAGGCAGCAGUAAAACAUCGUGGAAGGAGGAAAACAUGAAUACCUAUAUAUUUUAAUUUUAAAUACAUGCAGAUGUUGAAUUUUAAUCAGAGCAUGUCAGAAUCUGACUGUAACAAAGGCAAAAAUGUGAGAUCUGUUUUCUUGAAUUGCUUCCAUAUUUUGAGCUCCAGAUUUUUAUUACAUAUAGCACUGCAUCAUCAUAUAUUUAUGUAAAGUGCCAGCACCCAUUGACUUAGCAUAUGCCUGAUGGUUAGCAUAUAAAACACUUCACAGUGAGAAGUAUAUUCUUUCCCUCAGUAUGUACAG